rnacentral:rRNA from 1 species
UGUGCCUACGGGACGCAGCAGUGGGGGAUAUUGCACAAUGGGGGAAACCCUGAUGCAGCGACGCCGCGUGGGUGAAGAAGCGCCUCGGCGCGUAAAGCCCUGUCAGCAGGGAAGAAAAUGACGGUACCUGAAGAAGAAGCCCCGGCUAACUACGUGCCAGCAGCCGCGGUAAUACGUAGGGGGCAAGCGUUAUCCGGAUUUACUGGGUGUAAAGGGGGCGCAGACGGCGAUGCAAGCCCGGAGUGCAAGCCCGGGGCCCAACCCCGGGACUGCUCUUGGCACUGCGCGGCUAGAGGGC